rnacentral:rRNA from 1 species
UUGAAAGGGAAACGAUUGAAGUCAGUCGCACCAGCGGGAAAUCAACCUUUCGAGUGGGGUUUUGGGGUUUUGAAGAGUGUUAAGCCUUUGAGAUUUCGAAACGUUCGCUCUUUUGGUGUACUUUCUCGUAGGUAGGUUAGCAUCGAUUUUGAUCAUCAUAAAAAGAUUGGAGGAAUGUAGCUUCGAUCUCGUAUUGAAGUGUUAUAGCCUUUGGUAAAUGUGAUGGUUAGGAUCGAGGAUUGCAACGAAUACCCUUUUGGGCUAUCCGCCUGAUCUCUGAUACGUGCCCUUGGUAUCGAAAGCGUGCUUAUGGUAUUAAGUAUUACGGUCAAAAGGUUAGAACGGAUUACAUUCGUUAAGGAUGUUGACGUA